GGGGAAUAUUGGACAAUGGGCGCAAGCCUGAUCCAGCCAUACCGCGUGGGUGAAGAAGGCCUUCGGGUUGUAAAGCCCUUUUGUUGGGAAAGAAAAGCAGUCGAUUAAUACUCGGUUGUUCUGACGGUACCCAAAGAAUAAGCACCGGCUAACUUCGUGCCAGCAGCCGCGGUAAUACGAAGGGUGCAAGCGUUACUCGGAAUUACUGGGCGUAAAGCGUGCGUAGGUGGUUGUUUAAGUCUGUUGUGAAAGCCCUGGGCUCAACCUGGGAAUUGCAGUGGAUACUGGGCGACUAGAGUGUGGUAGAGGGUAGUGGAAUUCCCGGUGUAGCAGUGAAAUGCGUAGAGAUCGGGAGGAACAUCCAUGGCGAAGGCAGCUACCUGGACCAACACUGACACUGAGGCACGAAAGCGUGGGGAGCAAACA
rnacentral:rRNA from 1 species